UGCCAGCAGCCGCGGUAAUACGUAGGGUGCGAGCGUUGUCCGGAAUUAUUGGGCGUAAAGGGCUCGUAGGCGGUUUGUUGCGUCGGGAGUGAAAACUCAGGGCUUAACCCUGAGCCUGCUUCCGAUACGGGCAGACUAGAGGUAUGCAGGGGAGAACGGAAUUCCUGGUGCAGCGGUGAAAUGCGCAGAUAUCAGGAGGAACACCGGUGGCGAAGGCGGUUCUCUGGGCAUUACCUGACGCUGAGGAGCGAAAGUGUGGGGAGCGAACAGGAUUAGAUACCCUGGUAGUCC
rnacentral:rRNA from 1 species